CGCUUUCACAGUGACCAUAAUUAAAUUCACACAUAAUUAAGUCAUAAUAUUGCAGAAAUAAUGAAAUACCUUAUUUUUAAUAAAACCACUAAACUGUACCUUUUCCAUUUACGUUUCAACAGGAUAUAGUAGUAAUCUAAGACUAGCUUCACCUUUUAACAGAUUCUCGGUUGGAUAGUUUUUUGUUCCUGAUCAUUAUUCAUAAAAAUUAUACUUAGACACAACCAUUACAUUUUACACAUAAUAGUUGCAUAUUUACAUAUAAUAGCAGUGUACUUACAAUUCUUUAUAGAUAAUAGCCAUAAAUAACAAAUGAAAUACAUCUCUGUUGGAAUUCUUUACUCAUAAUAGAAAAAUACUAAAGUUCUUUACCCAUAAUUGCAACAUACUUAUAGUUAUUACAUAUUGUUGUCCUCGUCUUGUUAGCAACAUGUGUUGUGGAUUUCAUCUCCCAACAUCGUCCAUAAUAUCCCAUUGCUCCGGUACAUAAUUAAAAUACUAAUUAUUGGCAAUAGUGUAACCAAAAUAAGGAAAAAUGCAGUAAUGUGCUACAAAGAAAAGUUACCGACCGAUUCGACCUACUUUUGCUUUUGGAUUUUUGCUCCUUUCAAUCACCUAAAAGACGAUUAAAAUAAAAAAAUGAUCAAUUAAAACAUGGAAUAAUAGCAUGUAAAAGAGAAAGCAUUUUUACUAAUUACAUUAAUUUUGGUAAUGAAGAAAAUGGUCAUUUUUGUCAAAAGGACAAAGUUGGUCAACGUGGUCAACAUGACCAUUUUAGUCAUUUUCCCAUAUGAAGCUAGAAAAGGGGACCAUUUCUUUAAAUCUGACUAUACCGAGGGACUAAUUUUGUAGAGGAGACCAUUUCUGUAAAUUCCCUAUUAGGUAGGUGCCAUUUUGAUAUUUUUAUGAAACACAUGAAAAUUUUCUAUAACUUUCAAUCAAAGUUUUAUCUAGAAUAGCAUUGUACUUUGUAAGUAUGAUGGUUUAAUAAGCAAAAAAUUAUAAAAAAAUAAGUUGGUAAACUAUCGUCCAAGCAAUCUAUACACACAUACACAGAUUGAUCAUUCCAAAAAUACCUAAAACACCUUUAAAGUUAAAAACUUUGAAUUCAAAUAUAAUAAUAAAAAAUCUGAUCACGUGUAACAUAGAUUUAAUUAUAAUUUUGGUAUUGAUAUAUAAAUAAAAUAAAAAACAUGUGUACAUACAAUUUGUAAGCACUGCAACCUUACCUUCUAUAUGCUUUGUUUGUAAUUCUCUACCCUACCCUAGCCCAUAUAACUCCAAGAAAAUCUACAUGGCAGUAAAUAAAGGCAGUUUAGUAAUUUUACUUUGUUCGAUGUUCUUGGAUAGAUGAGCAAAUAGGAAGCUCAUAAAAGGGUAUCUGGUGAAAGUAACUACCUUUGUAUUCAUUAGUUCAGAUCAGAUAUAUCAGAUAGAAUUAUGCUUUGUAUUAAAAACUUGGUUAUUUGAUUUGAAAAAUCCCAAAUCUUCACCUGCAAAACAGAUGUAAUCAUUUAAUAACAUCGAAAAGACUCGAAAAAAGGUCAAAGGUCAAAGAAAAAAUUGUCGAACGUCAAUCACUAAUCAAGACUUCACAUUGAAUAUUUGGCAGGAUUUAUCAAAAGCACCAAUCCCAUUGCCCUAAAUGACAACAAAGAGUAGAAGACAUGAUACAAAUAGUCAUAUCUACAACAAGAAGAAAAUAGCUAUAUCACCUUUUGUCAAAUCUUUACAACUAUUGAAUUUCUUGCUCAAAAGUGUUUGGGUUUUCUAGUUAUGCCACUGUUAGAAAAUUUUAUUUCUCACAUGUUCCAAUAUGGCCUUCACUCAAACUACCGUAAAAUUGUUUUAUUAGACUCAUAUAUAAAUGCUAUGAAUUUACAAAUUUAAAAAAUGACAACAUACUUGGCCACUUAGGCAACAUACUUUCAUUUAAUUGUUUAGUAUAGAAUUGUGGUUUUCAUCAUCGACAUAAUGAUUUUCAAUGUACAAAAUUUUAAUAGUACUUGAGAUUAUAGAUAACUGAAUACCAAAACAUGUGGAGCAAAGAAUCACACAUAGUAGCUAAGUUGGGAUCAACUCCUAUGCAAUGCCAGAUUUGGACCCUUUAGAACAUGCUCUGUUAACUCAACCAACGAAGCUAGUAAAAGCUAUCGUAAUCCUGUUAUAAUAUCAGUUUUUUUUUUCUAGUACUUAACCCAUAAAGCUCACUAAUCUAAAAGGAAACAACCUCAUAAUCUGUUAUUCAAAGAGAAGAAAACAAACAUUUUCUAUUACACAUACAUCUAGAUUACUUCCAUUUCCUAAGUCAUUAAACAAGCAGAACAUAUAGCUUUCGUUGACAACCUCAUUCCUUCAUCCCUCUAUUAAAAAGUUAAAAUAGUUUCCUGUAGUCAGAAAAACACCCUUUCAUGGAAGAUAUCAAGUCGUACAUGAAGCAAGUGAAAUAAAUAAACCCAUUAACAGUGCAUUAAGAAAAAUUAGAUUUUUUAGGAAGUGAAAUAAAUAAACCCAACAAAAAAUUAGGGUCUUACAGGAUAGAGCCUUUGUUCUUCAUCCACUUCAAACAAUUAACAAUACAUUCAGCAAAAUUAGGUUUUUUUAGACUACUGAUCCAGAACAAAAAUAUAAAAACAAAUGGUGUUUCAAUUACUUUCAACUUCCUAAUUUAAUGCAGGAGCGAAGCAGUUGGUUAUACAGAGCGUCCAAUUGAUCGGCGAUACCUUGAUGAGAACUAAGAAUGAAAUCGAUUUGAGGUAUUAGGAAAUUGAUUUAAUACUUGAGAAGGAGAAGUCGAUGGUGGUUUCUUCUAUGGCAGUAAGCUGAGGUGGAGCUAAAAUGGAGCGGAAGGGCCUGGGUUUGGUGGCGAUUGUAGCCAUGAACGGUCGACAUGUGGGGAAAAUGUUGGAAGAAGAAAAAACCUGGAGCGGAAUCCGAGGAAUCAUUUCUCGGUUUUAUUUUUGAAAUAUUAAUUUUGGGUUUCUUAUUCGCUACAUUCCAACCAAAUACCCUCAAUCUUCUUCUCCUACGUUUAAUCAGACCUUCAAUCGAUAGAAAAUAAAUACGUGAUCGGAAAGAACAGUGGGAUGGCAAAAGAGAAUAGAAAGGGCAUUUGAUAGGAUAUGCGGUGGAAAAUUCCAGAAACUCGCUAAGAUAAACAUAAAAUAAUUGAAC
rnacentral:lncRNA from 1 species